rnacentral:rRNA from 1 species
GACGAACGCUGGCGGCGUGCCUAAUACAUGCAAGUAGAACGCUGAAGAGAGGAGCUUGCUCUUCUUGGAUGAGUUGCGAACGGGUGAGUAACGCGUAGGUAACCUGCCUUGUAGCGGGGGAUAACUAUUGGAAACGAUAGCUAAUACCGCAUAACAAUGGAUGACACGUGUCAUUUAUUUGAAAGGGGCAAUUGCUCCACUACAAGAUGGACCUGCGUUGUAUUAGCUAGUAGGUGAGGUAAUGGCUCACCUAGGCGACGAUACAUAGCCGACCUGAGAGGGUGAUCGGCCACACUGGGACUGAGACACGGCCCAGACUCCUACGGGAGGCAGCAGUAGGGAAUCUUCGGCAAUGGGGGCAACCCUGACCGAGCAACGCCGCGUGAGUGAAGAAGAUUUUCGGAUCGUAAAGCUCUGUUGUAAGUCAAGAACGGGUGUGAGAGUGGAAAGUUCACACUGUGACGGUAGCUUACCAGAAAGGGACGGCUAACUACGUG